rnacentral:rRNA from 1 species
UACGUAGGUGACCAGCGUUGUCCGGAUUUACUGGGCGUAAAGAGCGCGCAGGCGGUCGUUCAAGUCGAGUGUGAAAGCCCCCGGCUCAACUGGGGAGGGUCACUCGAUACUGAUCGACUUGAAGGCAGGAGAGGGAAGCGGAAUUCCCGGUGUAGUGGUGAAAUGCGUAGAUAUCGGGAGGAACACCAGUGGCGAAGGCGGUUGCCUGGAGCUUUGCUGACGCUGAGGCGCGAAAGCGUGGGGAGCGAUCCGG